rnacentral:rRNA from 1 species
CUACGAGUUGCUGCAGUGAGGAAUAUUGCACAAUGGGGGGAACCCUGAUGCAGCAACGCCGCGUGGAGGAUGACGCAUUUCGGUGUGUAAACUCCUUUUAUAUGUCAAGAAAAUGACGGUAGCAUAUGAAUAAGCACCGGCUAACUCCGUGCCAGCGGCCGCGGUAAUACGGAGGGUGCAAGCGUUACUCGGAAUCACUGGGCGUAAAGGACGCGUAGGCGGGUUGGAAAGUCAGGUGUGAAAUCCUACAGCUUAACUGUAGAACUGCACUUGAAACUUCUAAUCUAGAGUAUGGGAGGGGGAGAUGGAAUUAGUGGUGUAGGGGUAAAAUCCGUAGAUAUCACUAGGAAUACCUAAAGCGAAGGCGAUCUCCUGGAACAUUACUGACGCUAAGGCGUGAAAGCGUGGGGAGCAAACAGGAUUAGAUACCCGUGUAGUC